AUUGAACGCUGGCGGCAGGCCUAACACAUGCAAGUCGAGCGAGCGGCGGACGGGUGAGUAAUGUAUGGGGAUCUGCCAGAUAGAGGGGGAUAACUACUGGAAACGGUGGCUAAUACCGCAUACUAUCGGAUGAACCCAUAUGGGAUUAGCUAGUAGGUGGGGUAACGGCUCACCUAGGCGACGAUCUCUAGCUGGUCUGAGAGGAUGAUUAGCCCCACUGGGACUGAGACACGGCCCAGACUCCUACGGGAGGCAGCAGUGGGGAAUAUUGCCCAAUGGGCGCAAGCCUGAUGCAGCCAUGCCGCGUGUAUGAAGAAGGCCUUAGGGUUGUAAAGUACUUUCAGCGGGGAGGCGUUACCCGCAGAAGAAGCACCGGCUAACUCCGUGCCAGCAGCCGCGGUAAUUC
rnacentral:rRNA from 1 species